rnacentral:rRNA from 1 species
GCCUUGCUGAAUUAUUCACCCUUGUCUUUUGCGUACUUCUUGUUUCCUUGGUGGGUUCGCCCACCACUAGGACAAACAUAAACCUUUUGUAAUUGCAAUCAGCGUCAGUAACAAAUUAAUAAUUACAACUUUCAACAACGGAUCUCUUGGUUCUGGCAUCGAUGAAGAACGCAGCGAAAUGCGAUAAGUAGUGUGAAUUGCAGAAUUCAGUGAAUCAUCGAAUCUUUGAACGCACAUUGCGCCCUUUGGUAUUCCAAAGGGCAUGCCUGUUCGAGCGUCAUUUGUACCCUCAAGCUUUGCUUGGUGUUGGGCGUCUUGUCUCUAGCUUUGCUGGAGACUCGCCUUAAAGUAAUUGGCAGCCGGCCUACUGGUUUCGGAGCGCAGCACAAGUCGCACUCUCUAUCAGCAAAGGUCUAGCAUCCAUUAAGCCUUUUUUUCAACUUUUGACCUCGGAUCAGGUAGGGAUACCCGCUGAACUUAAGCAUAUCAAUA